rnacentral:rRNA from 1 species
AGUCACUGACAUUAGAUACCCGGGUAGUCCCAGCCCUAAACGAUGCGCGUUAGGUGUAUCGGUGACCACGAGUCACCGAGGUGCCGAAGGGAAACCGUGAAACGUGCCGCCUGGGAAGUACGGUCGCAAGGCUGAAACUUAAAGGAAUUGGCGGGGGAGCACCACAACGGGUGGAGCUUGCGGUUUAAUUGGAUUCAACGCCGGAAAUCUUACCGGGACCGACAGCAACAUGAAGGCCAGGCUGAAGACUUUGCCGGAUUAGCUG